rnacentral:rRNA from 1 species
AGUGAACGCUGGCGGUAGGCCUAACACAUGCAAGUCGAACGGCAGCACAGUAAGAGCUUGCUCUUACGGGUGGCGAGUGGCGGACGGGUGAGGAAUACAUCGGAAUCUACUUUUUCGUGGGGGAUAACGUAGGGAAACUUACGCUAAUACCGCAUACGACCUACGGGUGAAAGCAGGGGAUCUUCGGACCUUGCGCGAUUGAAUGAGCCGAUGUCGGAUUAGCUAGUUGGCGGGGUAAAGGCCCACCAAGGCGACGAUCCGUAGCUGGUCUGAGAGGAUGAUCAGCCACACUGGAACUGAGACACGGUCCAGACUCCUACGGGAGGCAGCAGUGGGGAAUAUUGGACAAUGGGCGCAAGCCUGAUCCAGCCAUACCGCGUGGGUGAAGAAGGCCUUCGGGUUGUAAAGCCCUUUUGUUUGGAAAGAAGAGCAGCAGGUUAAUACCCCGCUGUUCUGACGUUACCCAAAGAAUAAGCACCGGCUAACUUCGUG